UAUUGUAAGUAGUCGCAGUAUCUAUUGCGAGAUAGAUAUUGAGGAAAGUCCACGCUCGUCUAGGCUGAGACGCUUAGAGUUUGGGUGCCUGGCGAAAUCAUAAGCCAGGGCAGCAUGAUAUGCUGACGGCGGUGAAAUGAACUCACUGAGUUCAAAAUAGCCUGAAAGUGCCACAGUGACGAAGUCCUUCUGGCGACAGAAGGAGUGGAACGAGGUAAACCCCACUUGCGAGAAACCUAAAUUAUGGUAAGGGAGCUAUCCAGAGGGAAUUCAACUGAUGGAUGGAUUAGAUAAAGUCUACCGCGACGUAUGAUUUAUCUAAUAGAUAGAUGGCUACUACUUCUUUUUAAGAAGUACAGAACGUGGCUUACAGCA
rnacentral:RNase_P_RNA from 2 species